rnacentral:antisense_RNA from 10 species
AUAGAGCAACAGCUUCUAUACAGUUUAAGUAGGCCCCGUUAAUCUUCUCUUAGUCGCCAAACCUGGUGAAGAUUAUCGGGGUUUUUGCUU